UUUAAACUGUCGUAGCCGAACAUC
rnacentral:siRNA from 1 species